rnacentral:rRNA from 1 species
GUGAGUAACGCGUGGGAACGUGCCUAUUGGUUCGGAAUAGCCCCGGGAAACUGGGUGUAAUACCGAAUGUGCCCUUCGGGGGAAAGAUUUAUCGGUGAAGGAUCGGCCCGCGUUAGAUUAGAUAGUUGGUGGGGUAACGGCCUACCAAGUCUACGAUCUAUAGCUGGUUUUAGAGGAUGAUCAGCAACACUGGGACUGAGACACGGCCC